rnacentral:rRNA from 1 species
AGGACGAACGCUGGCGGCGUGCUUAACACAUGCAAGUCGAGCGAGGCCCCUUCCUUCGGGAGGGGAGCCCUAGCGGCGAACGGGUGAGUAACACGUGGGCAAUCUGCCCCUAGCACUGGGAUAACUCCGGGAAACCGGGGCUAAUACCGGAUAUGACCUCCGAGGGCAUCCUCUGGAGGUGGAAAGGAUUCUGGCUAGGGAUGAGCCCGCGGCCUAUCAGCUAGUUGGUGGGUAAUGGCCCACCAAGGCGACGACGGGUA